UUUUAAACAUCAUUUUGUGUGUAAGUGUGUAUUAGUACAUGCUCACGAUAUUCAAAAAGUACAUACCUCAAAGAAAACGAUGACGCGAGUUAUCGUCUCUAACGUUCGAGGACUACAAAAAACACUCGGAUUGUAGGCAACAGUUUACUUCCUGGGAUUAGUGACGUAGAUAAGACCAACAUUAUCAUAGUUCAGCCCUCUCUGCUUUGCUUGGGUACGCCCUCAAAGACGAGGGUGGGGAGCGCCGAGUCAGAAGAGAGCUAAAAUGGCGGAGGUUGGGAGUCCCUGCUUUGACUCUGUUUGCAAACUCUUGUUUCAUUGUUUAAGCGAUUAAAUCUCUCGAGUAGACGCUGUCUCUUUAGAUGCGAGGGAAAAUAGCACUUUAUGGACUUCCACAGAGGACAUCAUGUUUAAUACGGUUCCGGAAAAAUCCAGUCAGAAGUUGUUCACGGAGUUUUCACAAUAACUGCUUCUCAUGAACCGAAGCUGGAUUUGCGCGACGUCUCCUCUUGAAAGUUGGAUUACUGUGCACUUCUGGAUCACAGGCUAUUCGCAGCUGGACACAUCCUUCUACAAUGUAUGCAAACAUGCAACAUCAAUACACACAGUACAAGGAGUCAGACUGGCAUAUGAGGAGCAAAGGAACCCAGGCAGUAGCAUCGUUUCACAAUGUUUCCAUCACCAUCAUCAGUGGAUGCCUUUGCCGUCCGUAGCCUGAGAUUUCAGAUUUGCAGCAAAAAAAUUUGAUUUUCUCAUUUAUUGGAAUGCUAUGCAGGUUGUACCUUGCAGCCAUCCAUUACAAUGUCACCAAGCCGUAACAAAAGCAGGAGAGGGAAAGUACAAGGCUAUGUUCCCAAAACACAAAUGACAUACCGUAAGCAGUAAUGUUUUAUUUCAAAUACAUUCAUAAUUAAAAACUUAAUGUAUGAAGCAGGGAAAUAAAUUAUCAAAACAAAAGAUUUAUUGACUGCAAUAUUUGUACAGUUAUGUGGAUGAUGUGAUCAGGCUUGUGUUUGAUGAGGUAUUUGAAGAUAAGCUGAAGGAAACCCCGAUUCCAAUGGACCUGGCAUCACAGUUUGAGAGACCUUCAAAGGAGGACGUGAUUGCAUGCCAUCUUCAGUGCAGGGGUCGUCGGAAGCCAACAUUCCGAUCAGGACGCUCCAAGCGUAUCUGGAGAACAACACACGACAGGAUGAUAACCCUAAAGUGUCAUCUUAGAUAGCAUCAGCUGACAAAGCUUUGAUAUGCCAUUUAUCUGAAUAGAUAGCUGUAAGAAGUGAAUUGAACAAUUUUUGAAAGAAGAGCACAAUAUGGUUACUAAAGUAUGUUUAUUUGUAUAUUGUUUAACAUUUAAAUAUAUAUUUGUAAUAAAUAAACUUUUGACUGACUACUAUAUUUUCUUUAAAGUUACAUCUUUUGUUCUUUUGGGUACUUUGUUACUAUAAUAAUACUUUAGUGUUAUUGGUUUAAAAAUGUAAUAAAACUUACUCUAGUCCUGCGCCUCAAAGGCUUAUAGUCGGUACAAUAAAUGUUCUGUGUGUAGGGAUUUAGACAAUUUGUGCAAAACCUGGAUGAUGAAUCACGCAGGGAAGAGGCCCUGGAACCUGUUGCAUUCUCCUUAAAACCUAGUAAGU